rnacentral:rRNA from 1 species
CGGUUAAAAAGCUCGUAGUUGGAUUUCUGUUGAGGAUGACCGGUCCGCUCUUUGAGCGCGUAUCUGGUUCAGCCUUGGCAUCCUCUUGGGGAACGCUACUGUGCUUGAUUGCAUGGGGCGGUAUUCAAGACUUUUACUUUGAGGAAAUUAGAGUGUUCACUGCAAGCGUUAGCAAUUGAAUACAUUAGCAUGGAAUAAUAAUAUAGGACCUUGGUACUAUUUUGUUGGUUUCUAGAACUAAGGUAAUGAUUAAUAGGGACAAUUGGGGGCAUUCGUAUUAACGCGUCAGAGGUGGAAUUCUUAGAUUGCGUUACGACGAACUACUGCGAAAGCAUUUGCCAAGGAUGUUUUCAUUGAUCAAGAACGAAAGUAUGGGGAUCGAAGACGCUUAGAUACCGUCGUAGUCUAUACCAUAAACUAUGCCAACUAGAGAUUGGAGGUCGUUCUCUUUAUGACUCCUUCAGCACCUUAUGAGAAAUCAAAGUCUUUGGGUUCCGGGGGGAGUAUGGUCGCAAGGCUGAAACUUAAAGGAAUUGACGGAAGGGCACCACCAGGAGUGGAGCCUGCGGCUUAAUUUGACUCAACACGGGAAAACUUACCAGGUCCAGACAUAGUAAGGAUUGACAGUUUGAUAGCUCUUUCUUGAUUCUAUGGGUGGUGGUGCAUG